UAUUAGAAAGAAUACCAAUUGCGAAGGCAGCUUUCUGGAUCAUUACUGACACUGAGGAACGAAAGCAUGGGUAGCGAAGAGGAUUAGAUACCCUCGUAGUCCAUGCCGUAAACGAUGUGUGUUAGACGUUGGAAAUUUAUUUUCAGUGUCGCAGCGAAAGCGAUAAACACACCGCCUGGGGAGUACGACCGCAAGGUUAAAACUCAAAUGAAUUGACGGGGACCCGCACAAGUAGUGGAGCAUGUGGUUUAAUUCGUAGAUACGCGCAGAACCUUACCAACACUUGACAUGUUCGUCGCGACUCUAAGAGAUUAGAGUUUUCGGUUCGGCCGGACGAAACACAGGUGCUGCAUGGCUGUCGUCAGCUCGUGUCGUGAGAUGUUGGGUUAAGUCCCGCAACGAGCGCAACCCUCACUUUUAGUUGCCAUCAUUAAGUUGGGCACUCUGAAAGAACUGCCAGUGAUAAGCUGGAGGAAGGUGGGGAUGACGUCAAGUCCUCAUGGCCCUUACGUGUUGGGCUACACACGUGCUACAAUGGUAUCUACAACAGGAAGCAAGACUGCGAGGUCAAGCAAAUCCUUAAAAGAUACCUCAGUUCGGAUUGCACUCUGCAACUCGAGUGCAUGAAGCUGGAAUUACUAGUAAUCGUGGAUCAGCGUGCCACGGUGAAUGCGUUCCCGGGCCUUGUACACACCGCCCA
rnacentral:rRNA from 1 species